UCCUGUUACGACCCAUAAUAAUUGUGGCCGUUGAGUCAUCCUGAUGCCCUUCUCUAAACCCUAAACCCUUCUCUCCCGUGUCGCUCUCCUCCCGAGCGGCCCUCUCUGGAGCUCCCGAACGUCACGCGAUCGCCUCAUCUCGCGAAUGGUCGAUCUGUUUUCUCCCCUUGCAGCGCGGGCAACUUGUAAGUCUCCUCUCCUCUCUGGCGAUGGAUAAUCUCCGUUCAUCUUCCUCACAAGAUCUUUUGUUCUGAGUUGUGCCCCCAUUCCAGACCACGAUAUUUCUUGUCCGUUUUUCAUUGACCAGGGUGGUCUAGAAUUCUUUAAACCGUGAUGGAUGAUUCUAUUGGUUUCACUGAUCGAAGAAAUUAGCAGAUCAGGGAGGGAGGUGUUGAUUUUGUGCUAUCCUACCAAGUUUCACAGAAAAUUAUGCUUGCGACAUCUUUCAAAAAUGUUGAAGCGAUGGCUGUCGUUAGUUUCCAAGUGUGUCCUCACUCCGAGCAAAAUUUCAGGAUUCAAAAGAUCCAAAUCAUUUAGGACUACUAGCUCCCACCAAGCUCAAAAAGCUAUUAUUGAGGUAUCUCUGGAAUAUCGAGAAGAUUUUUCAAGGCUUCAGGUGCUGAAUCAGGUUGCUGGAACCUUUGGAAGAGCAAUUCUUGAGCUUGGGAGUGAUGACGAAGGUCCAAGCACAGAGGCACAUGGCCCCGUAAUUAUUAAGGUCCUUGGGCAAAGAAGUCGCAAUGAAGUUUUUGCUGAAAUUUAUAUGGUAUGGAAGACUAUCUUCAUUUCAAGGUUGCUGGAACCUUUGGAAAAGCAAUUCGUGAGGAUGGGAGUGAUGACGAAGGUCCAAGCACAGGGGCACAUGGAUGCCCUGCAAUUAUUGAGGUCCCUGGGCAAAGAAGUCGCAAUGAAGUUCUUGCUGAAAUUUAUAUUGAGGUCCCUGGUUCGUAGUGAUAUUAACUUGACUUUGCAUCAUUUGCUGGAACCUUUGGAAAAGCAAUUCUUGAGUUUGGGAGUGAUGGCGAAGGUCCAAGCACAGAGGCACAUGGAUGACCCUGCAAUUAUUGAGGUCCUUGGGCAAAGAAGUCGCAAUGAAGUUCUUGCUGAAAUUUAUAUGGUAUGGAAGACUAUCUUCUUUUCAAGGUUGCUGGAACCUUUCGAAAAGCAAUUCUUGAUCUUGGGAGUGAUGACGAAGGUCCAAGCACAGAGGCACAUGGAUGACCUUGCAAUUAUUGAGGUCAUUGGGCAAAGAAGUCGCAAUGAAGUUCUUGCUGAAAUUUAUAUGGUAUGGAAGACUAUCUUCUUUUCAAGGUUGUUGGAACCUUUGGAAAAACAAUUCUUGAGCUUGGGAGUGAUGACGAAGGUCCAAGCACAGAGGCACAUGGAUGACCCUGCAAUUAUUGAGGUCCUUGGGCAAAGAAAUCGCAAUGAAGUUCUUGCUGAAAUUUAUAUGACUAUCUUCUUUUCAAGUUGUGACAGGUUAUCUGGGAACCAUUUCUUGUUCAACUUGACACUUGAUGUAAAAUUCAUUUCUGAUCCGGACCAAGCCUUGAUUGGAACUUCCUUUCUUUUGCUGCAAAGCAUGCUUUCGAGAACAUGUUCAAAUGCCAAUGUGGGAGAUUGGUAUCAUCAUCUCUUCAUCCUUCAGUACCAUUUCCACCUCUUCCUUCCCAGCCCAUGAGAAAAUACUCGUUUGACUCUUACCUCGUGAAAAACCUUGUGUGGGGAUGCAGUGUGGUAAGGUCUCCAUGUGUACAAUGGAAAAAAGUCUUUAAGCUUAAUGACAGAAUUUUCUUCUGGUCAAUGAAGUACUUGCUAAAUGGAAACCGCAGGUUAUGACGAAUACAAGAGGAUUAAGAAAUUGGCUUUUUGAAAAGCUUAAUUCUAUUGAGAUAUCAAACAAUCUCCGGGUGGAAUUGAAAUUAUCCUAUUAGACUUCUCAAUAUUGUCUAGUGAUCUUGGCUUUCUGAUAUCAUCGACAUAUCCUCGGGCUAUAUUAUUCUAUAUCAGCCCCUGGGCUAGGCUCUAUUCUCAAUAAUUCUUUAUAUAUAUACUGAUCAAUUUCCUUAUGUGCAUAACUUAAUUCUAUUGAGAUAUCGAACUAUCUCCGGGUGGAAUUGAAAUUCUUAUCCUAUUAGACUUCUCAAUAUUGUCUAGUGAUCUUGGCUUUCUGAUAUCAUCGACAUAUCCUCGGGCUAUAUUAUUCUAUAACGGCCCCUGGGCUAGGCUCUUUUCACAAAUAUCCCUAGCAGAUUGGUUUUCUCAACUUAUUGGUAUUUUAUCCUCAGAAGUGACUUGUCUCCUAGUCUUAUUGGUGUUUUCAAUAUUAUACCUUAUUGAUCUGCUCGGUUGGGACAUUAUUGGACUUCUGGUAUUCUUGGUUUUCUGGUUAUCAUCCUCCACACCAAGGGAUCAAACUUCUUUCCUCGGUCGAGACAUUAUUGGACUUCUGGUAUUCUUGGUUUUCUGGUUAUCAUCCUCCUGACCAAGGGAUCAAACUCCUUUCCUCGGUCGGGACAUUAUUGGACUUCUGGUAUUCUUGGUUUUCUGGUUAUCAUCCUCCUGACCAAGGGAUGAAACUCCUUUCCCCGGUCAGGACAUUAUUGGACUUCUGGUAUUCUUUGUUUUCUGGUUAUCAUCAUCCCGACCAAGGGAUCGAACUUCUUUCCAUGUUGGAAUAUUAUUGGACUUUUGGUAUUCUUGGCUUUCUCAUUAUUAUCCUCCCGACAUGAGCUCCUCUCUCCAGUCAGGACACUAUUGAUAUGUUGUAUUGGGAUAUUAUUGGACUUCUGGUAUUUCUGGUUUUCUAGUUAUCAUCCUCCCGACCAAGGGAUCAAACUCCUUUCGUCAGUCGGGACAAUAUUGGACUUCUGGUAUUCUUGGCUUUCUUGUUAUUAUCCGCCUGAUAUAAUGAGCUCCUCCCAUCGGUCUGGAUGGAUCUUCUUAAUGGUCGUGAGAUCAAGCUCCCUUUCUCAGUUGUAUUAUAAUUCUGGUACAUAUAGAUAUUAUUAUUUUUCUCCCCGGUCCAAAUGAAAUGGAUAUUCUUGUAUUAUGGCUUAUUCUUAUUCUUAGCGUGGGAUCGAGUCCUUUCAUCUCGGUCCAAUGAAAUGGAUAUUCUGGUAUUCUUAACAUUUUUAUUAUUUUCCUCACGACCAAUGAUCUAGUUCCUCUCACUGGUUAGGGCAAGAUGGGAAAAGAGAGAUUCCUUUUGAUUUUUUUACUCCAAGGUGUUCUAGAUAUCCUAAUGAUGUAUGAUACAUUUUCAACAUCAUGUCAAUCAAUUGUUAUCCGAAUAUUUGGUCGUUAUUGGUUUUCUGGUAUUCUUGUCUUUCUAGUUAUUAUUAUCCUCCAGAUCUCGGGAUUGACCUCUUCUCAAUUAGGAUGGAUCGGAGUUUUGGUCUUCUUAAUAUUUUUACUUGUGCCAUGAUCGUGGUAUUCAGCUCCUCUCUCCAAUCACAAUAUAUUGGACUUUUGGUAUUCCACGCUUUUUGCUUAUCAUCUUCCCAACCAAGGAUUAAACUCCUCUUCCUCGGUCAGAACUGUGUUGGACUUCUGCUCCUCUUCCCUGCUGAAUUAUAAUCCAUAUUCACAUAUUCUUGGAAUUCUUUUGCUUAUCAUCUUCAUGGUCGUGGAAUCGAGCUCCUCUCUUCGGUUGGAUUAUAAUCGGUAUUCGGGUAUUUCAUGCUUUAUUCAUGGCCGUAGCAUUGAACUCUCUCCCCGAUCAGAUUAUAAUUGAUAUCUAGGCAUUCUACGCAUUCUUUUAUUUAUUAUCUUCUUGGGUCUUGAGCUCUUCUUGGUCGGUAUUUAUAUAUUCUGGGCCCACUCUUGGAGAAGCAAAUUGUUGGUGUUUGCUCAAAUUUGGUAACCUAUUCUCUCUUUCUUACUUGUCUUUUAAUUUAUACUGCACUCAUCAAUUGAGACUAUGCUAAGUCUUGCUCAUUUCUUUUGCUUAUCAUCUUCAUGGUCGUGGAAUCGAGCUCCUCUCUUCGGUUGGAUUAUAAUCGGUAUUCGGGUAUUUCAUGCCUUAUUCAUGGCUGUAGCAUUGAACUCUCUCCCCGAUCAGAUUAUAAUUGAUAUUUAGGCAUUCUACGCAUUCUUUUAUUUAUUAUCUUCUUGGGUAUUGAGCUCUUCUUGGUCGGUAUUUAUAUAUUCUGGGCCCACUCUUGGAGAAACAAAUUGUUGGUGUUUGCUCAAAUUUGGUAACCUAUUCUCUCUUUCUUACUUGUCUUUUAAUUUAUACUGCACUCAUCAAUUGAGACUUAGCAUGAAUUGAGACUAUGCUAAGUCUUGCUCAUUUCUAGCCCCAUCUCUUUCUAGUUGGGCAUACGAGAUAGUUGUUGCUUUGCGUUUUAUUUCUGCAAAAGAUGUACAUGCUGAAGGUCAAGUUCCCAAAGGCCUUUCAUUGGGUAUUUUUGAGCAAAUAGUUAAUGGUCUAUCAGUGUCAUGUAAAGUUCGACCAUUUUCAGCAGAUAUGUUUAUCUUUAUGUUUCCAGUAUUUUUCUGUCUAAAUUUAGUUAUCAUUCAACUUUACUUGUUGCUAGCUUCAUUUCUGCUAGGUUAUUGAGCAUAUUCUGCUUUCUCCCAAGAAGACUGCUUGCAUUUCACGAUGAUUGCACUUCCUACUUCUGAGCCUCCAUGGCUACUACACCUGGGAACAUCUGAUAUGACAAACACUUCUGACAUAUUUUCUAGUAUUGGUUUGUUGUUAAAAUAUUUUCUCCCAACAGAUUUUUCUAUAUAACUUGUUCACUAGUUUUCAUUCUCUUUAUUGCUAGAAUGUAAGUUUAGUUUAUAUUAGUUUUAGAUCAUGAGCAAUUGAGUGUCAAUUCUUUUAAUUGAUAUGUUUCAAUGUUGUACUCUUAAAAUGAUUGGUCAAAUCGAAAGAGGGUUCAUUGAGGUGCCUCUUGGAGCUACAUGGGUUCAGCAAUAAUGCGAGCUUCGGGAUUUGAUACAAUUCAGUUUUACAAUAGAGUUGGCUGUUGCUUAGUUUUGUUCUAGUGGAAUUGGCAGUCAUGAAGUGACUCUUGUAGAUUUUGAGGUUUUGAUUGCCCUUGUGAAGGAUUACUUUCAGCGCUUUCUUCUCGAUAUCAUCUGAAAUUGUUCUCACCAAAAGUCUUCUUCUUUUUGUGAUGGGCAUUUGACACUUUUUAAGGGAAAUUUCUAGUUUUUUUAUUUUUUCCAUUCAUUUUAAUUAAUCCAGUGCAACGCUUUUUAACUCUAAUUUCAAUGAUGACACAACAUUUGCGAAGAUCCUUGGGCGUCAUCUUUCAAAACUACAAGUGGUUCUACCUGUAAUUUUGGAUGCUCUAUUGAACCUCUUGGCGAUCUUCUUUUCAAGGUUGCUGGAACCUUUGGAAGAGCAAUUCUUGAGCUUGGGAGUGAUGACGAAGGUCCAAGCACAGAGGCACAUGGCCCCGCAAUUAUUGAGGUCCUUGGGCAAAGAAGUCGCAAUGAAGUUCUUGCUGAAAUUUAUAUG